rnacentral:misc_RNA from 1 species
UCCGGCUUAUCGCCGACAGUUCCCUUAGGGUUCUCAGCAUAACCUGUUAGCAACUAAGGGCAAGGGUUGCGCUCGUUGCGGGACUUAACCCAACAUCUCACGACACGAGCUGACGACAGCCAUGCAGCACCUCUAGAGCAGUCCGGUAAAGGACAUUGACAUCUCUGCCAACUUCCACUCCAGUUCAAGCCCAGGUAAGGUUCUUCGCGUUGCGUCGAAUUGAACCACAUGCUCCACCGCUUGUGCGGGCCCCCGUCAAUUCCUUUGAGUUUCAGUCUUGCGACCGUACUCCCCAGGCGGGGCGCUUAAUGCGUUAGCUACGGCACGGAAAGCGGAAAUGCUCCCCACACCUAGCACUCAACGUUUACGGCUGGGACUAC